CUCAACCCAAUGUUACCGCUGACACAGAUUCGUUGGAAAGAAAGGUGGCCAAAUGCAAGUGAAACGGCCUCGUUUCACCACGGUCACCGUUGGAAGGCCAAAAAAACUGAAAAAGUAAUCACUUUAGGCGGUGGAUCAC
rnacentral:rRNA from 1 species